AUACGUAGGUGGCGAGCGUUGUCCGGAUUUACUGGGUGUAAAGGGCGCGUAGGCGGGAAGGCAAGUCAGGUGUGAAAUCUAUGGGCUCAACCCAUAAACUGCACUUGAAACUGUUUUUCUUGAGUGUCGGAGAGGUAGAUGGAAUUCCUAGUGUAGCGGUGAAAUGCGUAGAUAUUAGGAGGAACACCAGUGGCGAAGGCGGUCUACUGGACGAUAACGGACGCUGAGGCGCGAAAGCGUGGGGAGCAAACAGGAUUAGAUACCCUGUUAGUCCACGCCGUAAACGAUGAAUACUAGGUGUGGGUGGGACUGACCCCAUCCGUGCCGCAGCUAACGCAAUAAGUAUUCCACCUGAGGAGUACGGCCGCAAGGCUGAAACUUAAAGGAAUUGACGGGG
rnacentral:rRNA from 1 species